rnacentral:rRNA from 1 species
UACGAAGGACCCGAGCGUUAUCCGGAUUUAUUGGGUUUAAAGGGUGCGCAGGCGGACUAAUAAGUCAGUGGUGAAAGCCUGAUGCUUAACAUCAGAACUGCCAUUGAUACUGCUAGUCUUGAGUACGGUUGAGGUGGGCGGAAUGUGUCAUGUAGCGGUGAAAUGCUUAGAUAUGACACAGAACACCAAUUGCGAAGGCAGCUCGCUAAACCGUAACUGACGCUGAGGCACGAAAGCGUGGGGAGCAAACAGGAUUAGAAACCCCCGUAGUCC